rnacentral:rRNA from 1 species
UACGGAGGGCGCAAGCGUUGUUCGGAAUUACUGGGCGUAAAGCGCGUGUAGGUGGCUUGGAAAGUCGGGUGUGAAAUCCCGGAGCUCAACUCCGGAACUGCAUCCGAUACUGCCUAGCUCGAGUCUCGGAGAGGAUGGCGGAAUUUCCGGUGUAGAGGUGAAAUUCGUAGAUAUCGGAAGGAACACCAGUGGCGAAGGCGGCCGUCUGUACGAUGACUGACACUGAGACGCGAAAGCGUGGGGAGCAAACAGG